CACGUAGGGCGCAAGCGUUGUCCGGAAUUAUUGGGCGUAAAGAGCUCGUAGGCGGUCUGUUACGUCUGCUGUGAAAACCCGGGGCUUAACCCUGGGCUUGCAGUGGAUACGGGCAGACUAGAGGCAGGUAGGGGAGAAUGGAAUUCCCGGUGUAGCGGUGAAAUGCGCAGAUAUCGGGAGGAACACCGGUGGCGAAGGCGGCUCUCUGGGCCUUACCUGACGCUGAGGAGCGAAAGCGCGGGGAGCGAACAGG
rnacentral:rRNA from 1 species